UAAGAGCUUGCUCUUAUGAAGUUAGCGGCGGACGGGUGAGUAACACGUGGGUAACCUACCCAUAAGACUGGGAUAACUCCGGGAAACCGGGGCUAAUACCGGAUAAUAUUUUGAACUGCAUAGUUCGAAAUUGAAAGGCGGCUUCGGCUGUCACUUAUGGAUGGACCCGCGUCGCAUUAGCUAGUUGGUGAGGUAACGGCUCACCAAGGCGACGAUGCGUAGCCGACCUGAGAGGGUGAUCGGCCACACUGGGACUGAGACACGGCCCAGACUCCUACGGGAGGCAGCAGUAGGGAAUCUUCCGCAAUGGACGAAAGUCUGACGGAGCAACGCCGCGUGAGUGAUGAAGGCUUUCGGGUCGUAAAACUCUGUUGUUAGGGAAGAACAAGUGCUAGUUGAAUAAGCUGGCACCUUGACGGUACCUAACCAGAAAGCCACGGCUAACUACGUGCCAGCAGCCGCGGUAAUACGUAGGUGGCAAGCGUUAUCCGGAAUUAUUGGGCGUAAAGCGCGCGCAGGUGGUUUCUUAAGUCUGAUGUGAAAGCCCACGGCUCAACCGUGGAGGGUCAUUGGAAACUGGGAGACUUGAGUGCAGAAGAGGAAAGUGGAAUUCCAUGUGUAGCGGUGAAAUGCGUAGAGAUAUGGAGGAACACCAGUGGCGAAGGCGACUUUCUGGUCUGUAACUGACACUGAGGCGCGAAAGCGUGGGGAGCAA
rnacentral:rRNA from 1 species